rnacentral:rRNA from 1 species
UACGUAGGGGGCAAGCGUUGUCCGGAUUCAUUGGGCGUAAAGAGCUCGUAGGCGGUUCAGUAAGUCGGGUGUGAAAGCUCCGAGCUCAACUCGGAGAGGCCACCCGAUACUGCUGUGACUUGAGUCCAGUAGAGGAGCGUGGAAUUCCUGGUGUAGCGGUGAAAUGCGCAGAUAUCAGGAGGAACACCAGCAGCGAAGGCGGCGCUCUGGGCUGGAACUGACGCUGAGGAGCGAAAGCUAGGGUAGCAAACGGG